AUGCAGUCACAGAGCUGAAUCUGGGGAUCCAGGAACAAGGGAAUGGAACCGUCACCCUGGGCCAGAGCCAUGCACAGAUGCAGCUGAACUGGGCUGAGGCAAUUGUGG